rnacentral:lncRNA from 1 species
CUUCAUAAAGCUAGAUAACCGAAAGUAAAAAUAACCCCAUUACACGCCUGAGGAGGAUGUGGAGAAGAAAGGAAAUCCAUCAAAAGGAAAAUGAGGAAAAGAAAAAAUGAAAUGAAAAGAAGGAAGAGAAAGGAAAUGAGAGGUGGAAAAAAAAAAGAACUGGGGAAAAAAAGACAACUUUUUGAAACUGGAAUUAAAACCCGAGGUGAAGAACACAGGCUGGAAGAAAAAAGAAGAAAAGAAAGAAAGAAAGUCCUCAAAGCCAGGAAAUCUGUGUUAAUUGCUUAUGAAUGUCUCUGUCUAAAAAAUUAUCGAAUUGAUGUUGUCGUGCUUUUUUUUGACAGCCUGUCUGUUACAUUUUUUUAAAAUAUUCAUGCACCGAAAUCUAAUUACUAGGCAAAUUUAAUGAUAAUGAAAUGAAGGCACUUUAGCAGAAAGCACAGGGCCUUGUUAAUGUUUUCUCAGCCUCUGUCUUGUUCAUAUUUUUAAAUUAUUUUUUUUUUACAACUGCCUUUCUUGCAUUUAAAAAAAAAAAGGGUUGCCGAAAAUAAAACUUGGAUUGCUGAAAA